ACAUGCCUACAUCAUAGCAUUAAUGCACCAGAUCCCAUUAGAACUGUAUAGUUAAGCGCGCUCAGGCUAUAGUAGUAUUGGGAUGGGUGACCUCCCGGGAAAUACUAGUGUUUUACAUGCC
rnacentral:rRNA from 1 species